rnacentral:lncRNA from 1 species
UGUAAACCCAGUGCAGUUUCCACCACACCAUGUGGGCAGAGGAGUUUGUUUCUGGAAAUAAGUAUAAGGUCAUAAACCUCUUUGAAAAUCUGAGAAAAAUCCCCAUGUGAACAUUACAACACAGUUUUAGAAAAAAUUUCAGGGAUUUCUUGGACUCCCUGACGUCAAUCUGUAGACCUUUACUAAUUAUGUGCCUUACAUAAGAAAAAAAAAAAACUGAACCAAUCAAAUGCCUUGACUUUUGAAGAAACUGUAAUCCAAGAACUUCAAUGAAUUUUUGCAGAUGAUACAGUAGUUUUAAAAUAAUUUGCGAAAACUAUUGUGCUGUUUUUGUAUGUGAUUUUAUGUAAGUAGGUUUUCAAUAUUGUUUUAUUCUUUAAUUAAUUUGUUGAAAACAAAUCUACUAAAAAAGAUCUAAGAACUGUGUUUGGGCACUCUUAUUUACUUUCUGGAAAUGUGUAUUGUGCACUCUCAAUGUAAAUAUGAGCAUUUUUAAAUAGAAAAUGGAGGCUCUUGCGUUAUCAUUGUAUCUAUUAAUCCUAGAGUAAUGAUUAGCCCAGCAUAAAUUAGUGUCCUUCACAAAGAAAUAUGAGAGAAAACUAAUUAGGCUGUGCUGGUUCUAAUUAGCAAAUAAAUUCAACUAUGACAGAAUUUAAAAUACA